rnacentral:rRNA from 1 species
GACGAACGCUGGCGGCGUGCUUAACACAUGCAAGUCGAACGGAAAGGCCCUGCUUUUGUGGGGUGCUCGAGUGGCGAACGGGUGAGUAACACGUGAGUAACCUGCCCUUGACUUUGGGAUAACUUCAGGAAACUGGGGCUAAUACCGGAUAGGAGCUCCUGCUGCAUGGUGGGGGUUGGAAAGUUUCGGCGGUUGGGGAUGGACUCGCGGCUUAUCAGCUUGUUGGUGGGGUAGUGGCUUACCAAGGCUUUGACGGGUAGCCGGCCUGAGAGGGGGACCGGCCACAAUGGGACUGAGAGACGGACCAGACUCCUACGGGAGGCAGCAGUGGGGAAUAUUGCACAAUGGGCGGAGGCGUGAUGCGGCAACGCCGCGUGCGGGAUGACGGCCUUCGGGUUGUAAACCGCUGUCGCCUGUGACGAAGCGGGAGUGACGGUAAUGAGUAAAGAAGCACCGGCUAACUACGUG